rnacentral:rRNA from 1 species
GACGAACCGUGCGAACGUUGUUCGGAAUCACUGGGCUUAAAGGGCUCGUAGGCGGUUUGUCGCGUCGGGAGUGAAAACACCGGGCUUAACUCGGUGCUUGCUUUCGAUACGGGCAGACUGGAGGUAUGCAGGGGAGAACGGAAUUCCUGGUGUAGCGGUGGAAAUGCGCAGAUAUCAGGAGGAACACCGGCGGCGAAGGCGGCUUCCUGGACCGACACUGACGCUGAGGCGCGAAAGCUAGGGGAGCAAACGGG